rnacentral:rRNA from 1 species
GGAUCCAGACUUUGAUUCUGGCUCAGGAUGAACGCUAGCUACAGGCUUAACACAUGCAAGUCGAGGGGAAACGACAUCGAAAGCUUGCUUUUGAUGGGCGUCGACCGGCGCACGGGUGAGUAACGCGUAUCCAACCUGCCCACCACUUGGGGAUAACCUUGCGAAAGUAAGACUAAUACCCAAUGAUAUCUCUAGAAGACAUCUGAAAGAGAUUAAAGAUUUAUCGGUGAUGGAUGGGGAUGCGUCUGAUUAGCUUGUUGGCGGGGUAACGGCCCACCAAGGCGACGAUCAGUAGGGGUUCUGAGAGGAAGGUCCCCCACAUUGGAACUGAGACACGGUCCAAACUCCUACGGGAGGCAGCAGUGAGGAAUAUUGGUCAAUGGGCGAGAGCCUGAACCAGCCAAGUAGCGUGCAGGAUGACGGCCCUAUGGGUUGUAAACUGCUUUUAUAAGGGAAUAAAGUGAGUCUCGUGAGACUUUUUGCAUGUACCUUAUGAAUAAGGACCGGCUAAUUCCGUGCCAGCAGCCGCGGUAAUACGGAAGGUCCGGGCGUUAUCCGGAUUUAUUGGGUUUAAAGGGAGCGUAGGCCGGAGAUUAAGCGUGUUGUGAAAUGUAGACGCUCAACGUCUGCACUGCAGCGCGAACUGGUUUCCUUGAGUACGCACAAAGUGGGCGGAAUUCGUGGUGUAGCGGUGAAAUGCUUAGAUAUCACGAAGAACUCCGAUUGCGAAGGCAGCUCACUGGAGCGCAACUGACGCUGAAGCUCGAAAGUGCGGGUAUCGAACAGGAUUAGAUACCCUGGUAGUCCGCACGGUAAACGAUGGAUGCCCGCUGUUGGUCUGAAUAGGUCAGCGGCCAAGCGAAAGCAUUAAGCAUCCUACCUGGGGAGUACGCCGGCAACGGUGCAACUCAA